rnacentral:rRNA from 1 species
UACAGAGGUGGCAAGCGUUGCUCGGUAUCACUGGGCUUAAAGGGCGCGUAGGCGGUGCGGUACGGUUUCGGUGAAAUCCCUCGGCCCAACCGAGGAACAGCCGGGGCUACGGCCGUGCUCGACGGCAUCAGGGGACAGUGGAACUCCCGGUGGAGCGGUGAAAUGCGUAGAUAUCGGGAGGAACGCCGGUGGCGAAAGCGACUGUCUGGGGUGCCUGUGACGCUGAGGCGCGAAAGCCAGGGGAUCAAACGGG